ensembl:lncRNA
ACAGAAAUUCGGCUGUUCCAAAGCAGCUGAGCUGGGUGGGCAGUCUCUUGUGGCUUGUUUUGGGGGAAUGUUGUGAAAUUUCCGAUUUGGCCUCCAGGCAGGGUCUCCGAGGAGCUUGCAAUGGACUCAUUUGCAAUGGUCAUUAUCUUAUGCGGAUGUUGCUGAUUACACUGACCUAAAGUCUGUUUUCUUUGACAUGUCAAAGUUGAAGAUGGAGAAAGUGCAGUGAGACUGCAAUACGUGACUUUGAGAAAGAAUGAAUAGCAAGUUCUUGUAAAAGGAGGAAAAGAGGCAUUUUGGCAGAGUGCCUUUCAAGGCCGUAAUGGGGGAAAUCUGAUUUCUCUGUUUUUAAAUGCGCUCUUUGCAGCAAUGCUCACAGGCUGCGGUGGUCGUGUGGAAACGUUUCAGUUUGUGAUGAAACGGGGCCUGAAUGUGCUACAGGUUCUGUAGCUUUACUUCUCCUUGUUGAGGAGGCAUUGCCAGGCUGUAGCACAAACCUGACCAGGCCUUUGGGGACUCUCUGGCGUAAGGAGCUUUUUUCUUGAGGAAGGAAAGGGUGCAUGGCUUCAUCCCAGGGAGUUUUUCCAUCUGUUUGUUAUGGUGUGCACGAGCAGAAGAUACACUUAGGGAAGGAGCUGGAAAUACUUCAGCAUCAUCCAGAGACAAAAGCGGUUAAUCCCAGAUGUCUUUUCUCCGUGAACAGCAGCAGGAUAAAGGAUGACUUUUUACAUCAGCUCUUUGAAAGACAGUUUUAUCCUGGAUCCCCAUCCCUCCUCCGACAGGACGAGGCUGUAUCUGUCUGACAACACACCUCCAGUGACUCUCUUAAUUAAGUCUCCCCGCACUGCUGUGAGGUAUGUAAUUACAGUGAGACCUGACUUAAGCAGCCACUCGAGGGACUUACAAAAAAAAAAAAACCCUAAACCUUCUUUACCAGGGCAGGGAGGAACAGAAUUUUACUGAAUACAUUUUUGGGGAUAUUUUAGGGGAAGUUUGUUAAACAACAGGAGUUAAUUAUGCUGGUUCCUCCUCAGUGUAUCCCAAUAUUAGGAUGAUGCCUUUAAUAUACUGGGCGUUAACAUAAUCAACAGGUUUUUUUCCUUCCAAAAGGAUACUUGAGAUCUUUUGUCUUUUAACAGGGAUUGCUAUAAAAAAUAAGUGUCAAUUAGUGCAAAUGGUGGCAGCCGUCUUACGAAAUGAACUAUUGUUUAUCAGAAGCUGAGUAGUUGUCCCUCCCUGCCCAAACCCGCUCCGGUGGUAAAAAUAUUAAGUCAAAGGGCAACAUUCGGAAUUCCUGCUUUAUUAUAACCACCCUUUUUCAUGACUCUACGUGGCAGUUCUGCCUCGUAGGUACUGGGCAUCGGGUGUCUCAAACUGAAGAACCCCAGUAGCUGCGAUACUCAUGGUGCUUCUUGAAGAGCUCUGGCGGUUCCAGGAAGAUUUAUUUUUGGUGUCGCUGCCCCAUCCCACUGUCAGAGGUCUCUGACCAGUACCCGAGGUGACAGGCUGGACUGUGCGUCACCAUUCUCAGCCCAGCCUAUUAAUCUAAACUGCCAGCUAUUUCAGGUUGCAUUAAUAUUCCAAGCAAUGAACUGUAGUGGCCAUGGAUAAGACAUGCCACCCAUUUUGGAGCCUCUGCUUCAACAGAGUAACUGUCUCCAGCUGAAAGACAGGAAGAAGCUGAAAAUAGUAAUAUCAUAAGUGGUCCCAGUAUGGGCUGGUAGCCCCCCCUCGAGUCCCACCUUCGUUAUGGGCCAUUCUGAAUACAUGCUGUGAGUAAAACUCCCAAAUUGCAAGCCAAGCUACGCAGCUAACUUGGAGAUUUUGCAAGCAUAAACCCUAGGGGGUUUGGUGCCAUCUCUGUCUCUUCUAUUUGGAAGACUGAGCUAGUAGCAAGAUUUUAUGAAGUGUGCAUUUCUAUCUCAAAAUUUAGAUAAUGUUAACUAGAAACCCACAUAUUCUGUUGUCACUGGAUAUGACAAAAAUAAUCUCUGGCUGAAGAAAUUUGCUGCAGAGCCUAAGAUUUUGUUUAAGACAAAAUAAAACAUCCUCGGAGACAACCUUGACA